AAGCAGGCCAGCUGAAGAAAAGAACCCCCAGGCUCCACUUAAAACCAGCAGUGUGCUUCCCACGCAGCACCCUGUGUGAACCAGCUGGUCUGAGUCCAGAAAAAA